GGUUCCAUGGUGUAGUGGUUAUCACGUUGGCUUUACACGCAGAAGGCCUGAGUUCGCUCCUCAGUGAAACCA
rnacentral:tRNA from 1 species